UGUUCCUCUUAAAGACCUAGCAUGUGGGUCAGUGGAGGAAGACUUAGGUGUUCUGUCACAAUGAUAGAAAGCUGACCACCACUGAACACUCCUGGAGAAGUUACAUCUAUGUUUAAUGCUGGAAAACUGAGGACAUCAGAGUUGUGGUAAUAGGAAGUAGAUUGUGUGUGAUGUCUUCAGGGCGCUUGAAUUGCUGGCUUAAAGAGAAAGAUCAGGCCAUGGCUGUUGCAUGUCUCAGCUCAGGCAUCUGGGAUUGAAGU